rnacentral:rRNA from 1 species
UUGAUCCUGGCUCACGUUGAACGCUAGCUACAGGCUUAACACAUGCAAGUCGAGGGGCAGCAUGGUCUUAGCUUGCUAAGGCCGAUGGCGACCGGCGCACGGGUGAGUAACACGUAUCCAACCUGCCGUCUACUCUUGGACAGCCUUCUGAAAGGAAGAUUAAUACAAGAUGGCAUCAUGAGUCCGCAUGUUCACAUGAUUAAAGGUAUUCCGGUAGACGAUGGGGAUGCGUUCCAUUAGAUAGUAGGCGGGGUAACGGCCCACCUAGUCUUCGAUGGAUAGGGGUUCUGAGAGGAAGGUCCCCCACAUUGGAACUGAGACACGGUCCAAACUCCUACGGGAGGCAGCAGUGAGGAAUAUUGGUCAAUGGGCGAGAGCCUGAACCAGCCAAGUAGCGUGAAGGAUGACUGCCCUAUGGGUUGUAAACUUCUUUUAUAAAGGAAUAAAGUCGGGUAUGGAUACCCGUUUGCAUGUACUUUAUGAAUAAGGAUCGGCUAACUCCGUGCCAGCAGCCGCGGUAAUACGGAGGAUCCGAGCGUUAUCCGGAUUUAUUGGGUUUAAAGGGAGCGUAGAUGGAUGUUUAAGUCAGUUGUGAAAGUUUGCGGCUCAACCGUAAAAUUGCAGUUGAUACUGGAUAUCUUGAGUGCAGUUGAGGCAGGCGGAAUUCGUGGUGUAGCGGUGAAAUGCUUAGAUAUCACGAAGAACUCCGAUUGCGAAGGCAGCCUGCUAAGCUGCAACUGACAUUGAGGCUCGAAAGUGUGGGUAUCAAACAGGAUUAGAUACCCUGGUAGUCCACACGGUAAACGAUGAAUACUCGCUGUUUGCGAUAUACAGCAAGCGGCCAAGCGAAAGCGUUAAGUAUUCCACCUGGGGAGUACGCCGGCAACGGUGAAACUCAAAGGAAUUGACGGGGGCCCGCACAAGCGGAGGAACAUGUGGUUUAAUUCGAUGAUACGCGAGGAACCUUACCCGGGCUUAAAUUGCAGAUGAAUUACGGUGAAAGCCGUAAGCCGCAAGGCAUCUGUGAAGGUGCUGCAUGGUUGUCGUCAGCUCGUGCCGUGAGGUGUCGGCUUAAGUGCCAUAACGAGCGCAACCCUUGUUGUCAGUUACUAACAGGUUCCGCUGAGGACUCUGACAAGACUGCCAUCGUAAGAUGUGAGGAAGGUGGGGAUGACGUCAAAUCAGCACGGCCCUUACGUCCGGGGCUACACACGUGUUACAAUGGGGGGUACAGAGGGCCGCUACCACGCGAGUGGAUGCCAAUCCCCAAAACCUCUCUCAGUUCGGACUGGAGUCUGCAACCCGACUCCACGAAGCUGGAUUCGCUAGUAAUCGCGCAUCAGCCACGGCGCGGUGAAUACGUUCCCGGGCCU